CUGGGAACCCUACACCGGGGGUAAUUGAGAUCAGAUGCGGCUGUGACCCACGGAAUGCUCCCCUGGAACCUGGAAGCAUUUAUUGUCUGGAAGAGAAUCCAGGGCCCGUUCUAGGCCCCCUCCCUCCCCGGCUGUCUCCUCCCCGGGCGGCUGAAGGUGGAUAGGGGCCCUGAGGAGCCUCUGGUGCUGGCCGGGGUUGGGCAGCCGGCCUUGAUGAAUCCGCUGCUGAAAGCACCUUCCUGGCUUCCUCCUUCCUGGGGAUACGGUUACAGGGGGCCAGACUUCCUGUCAAGCCCGCCCAGCUCUGCAGGGAUGGUUGGUAAUAGUACCUACUUCAGAGGGUUAUUGUGAAGAUAAAAUGAAGGAUCAUGGAUGAAGCUGCUAUAAGUUGAGGUCAACUACAAGGUUAGAGGGCACAGCCUGCACACGAGACCGCCCUUGCUUCUGACACCACCUGCAAGUUCCGGAGGUGCCCCAAACUGCCUUCAGAGAAUACAUUUUACUGUGAGAGAGCAGACAGACGGAGACAGGGAGGCCCUGCUCUGAGAUGCUGGGGCCAGGCAGGUAUUUCUCUUGGUAAUGGACUUGGCUUCUGGAGGCAGGUGUUCUUCCAGCCACCUCCCAGACACCCAGACCUUCCUGCUCCAGGUUCAGAGUCUGGAGCCUCCACCUCAGGAAGGCCUCCUCCUCACUGCACGAACUCUGACCUUGGGCAAGCUCCCUACAGUCUGUGGGGCUCAGUUUCCCCAUCCAUAAAAUGAGAAAAUUGGCCUAAAUUCCCUCCCAGCUCUGGUGUGCAUCGUUCCGAUUUCCUGAUGGGGGAAACAUUUUUAACUCCCGGGCUCAGGAGGCCUCAGGCCUGGUUUAUCAGCCUCAGGGUGGUUCUCAGGCGGUGACUGUUGUUCUCCUGGGAGGGAAGAGGUGGAAGGGAUGAAGCGAUGGAGGCAUCUCUGUUCAGCAGAGAUAACUCCCCAGCCAGAGGUUGGAACAUGAAGCAGAUUGUGCCAGAAAUAGAGACAGAGAUGGAGAGGGACAGAGUCAGCAGGAGGGAGAUAGCAACUCAGAGAUACUGAAAGAGGAAGAGAGCAUCCAAGACAGAGAUGAAGAGACAGGGCCACCACAGACAGAGGAAGAGAUAACAGACUGCCAGGGAGAGAGAAAGAGAGAAACAGAGAGAUGAGACCCAGACUGAGCGAUAAAGGCAGGAAAAGGAGGGCGGGACCAGAAUACAGUAGAAUGAGACUAGUUGGAUGGGGCAGAAAAGCCAGCAACUGAGCCUUCUGCUCUCUGGGGGUCAAGCUAGAUCCUGCUUUUGCCUGCAAGGUGCCUGGAUCUGGUGGUCCUUCUUCUGCUCAUCAAAUUUCCUCUGGGACUGGGACCCUCCUGCUCCACAACCUAAAUGUCCUCCAGACCUCACCUCCCUGGGGGUAGUGUGUGCAGAGAUGAGAGGCCGCACAGGCUUCCUGGCCUUGGGGUUUUGUUAAAGGGUAGGGGUAAAUGGUGAGGAGUGAGAGAUGAAUGAAGGUUAUUACCUUUAGGGGGAUGUGGUUAGGGUUGGCAGAAAAGCAAGGAGGUGGAAAGUUCAAAGAAAAAUUUCCCCAUCUUUCUUUAGCUCAGGCAUUAACUCUGUGUCUCACUAUUUAGGGAAUGAUAGGGAAUCUGGCAGUGGGGGGAGGGUUCCAGGUACUUAGUGUUGGAUGGAAGGAGGAGAUACAAAAGGAGAAGAACUGAGCUGGGCAAGGAUGGGUUUAGUUGAGUUGAAAUAUGUUGAACGUAGUUGGUUUGGUUGGGGUGGAGUGGAGUUGUGUUACGUCAUGUUGGGGUGGGUUGGGUUGAAUAAAAUUUAGUUUUGUUGGAUUGACUGGAGUUGGAUUUGGGAGCGGAGCUGAGUUGAACUGAUUUGACUUGAAUUUAGUAGAGUUAAGCUGAGUUGGGUUGUGUUGAGAAAGGUUGGGUUGGGUUGAAUGAAGUGGAGUUGAGUUUGAUUGAAUUGAGUUAGGUUGGAUUUAAGUAGGUUGAGUGGAAAUAAGCUGGGUUGACUUGAGUUGGAUUUAGGAAGAUUGAGGUGGGUUGAGUUGAGUUAAUUAGGUUGAGUUGCUCUGGAGUAAGAAAGCUAUAAGACUCCAAGAAGACAGGAGUAAGGAGGAGCCCAGAUCCAGCAUAAUCCAAAUUAUGCUGCCAGGGAAGGAAGAUGGAGUGAGAUACCAACAAGGAGAGACCUGCUGAGGGGAGAUGUCCAAGGCUGAGAUCUAAACAGAUCUUUGAGUCGGAGAUGGUUUGGCAAACAAAUGAUCUGUUUCAGUGUUUCUCUGUCUUUUUACCACUCUACACUUCCACUGGUAUGGAGGUUCAGUAUGGCUGUGAUUCGCAUCUUGUGAUGGGAAGAAGUGAAUAUUAGAAUCUCAUUUGCUCAUUUGCAUGUGCUCACGUGUGUGUGUGUGUGUGUGUGUGUGGAAGGGGAGUGUAAUUCGAAAAAAUACCUAAAGGAGAUUCUUAGAUGCCUCCCAAGCUAGAGCAUGCUCCAGGUGAGAAUCAAUAUCCCACAGAAUCUUUUUUAUUCCCCAAAUUUAUUAAAAUGUAUUUGACAUGUUACAGUGUGUAAGUUUAAGGUGUACAACGUGAUGAUUUGAUACACAUACAUAUUGCAAAAUGAUUACCACAACGUUAGUUAACACAUCCCUUACCUCACAGUUACCGUUUAUGUGUGUGUUGAGAACAUUUAAGAUCUGCUCUCUUAGCAACUUUCAAGUAUACGAUAUGGUACUAUUAACAAUAGUCCCCGUGCUGUAUAUUUGAUCCUCAGAACUUUCUCAUCUCAGAGUUGGAAGUUUGUCCACUUUGACCACCAUCACCCAUUUUCUUUAACCCCCAGCCCCUGGCAACCACCAAUCUACCCUUUCUAUGUG
rnacentral:lncRNA from 1 species